UGGAAUUAUGAUGUAUGACCUUGUUGCAUCAGUUUCUGUGUCCUGUUUCAAGAGGAAAAAGAAUGGCGAUCCCUCCGUGCAAGACGAAGUGUUGGCUGUCAUCGAUCCCACCGCAGAAGAGGAAGCCUGUGAAGACGGAAGCUUCAUGAUCUCGCUCAUGGCCUCUCGUAACGAAGUCACUCAGCUCACGACCACUGGAGAAUGGUCAGUGGCCAAACUGGACGAGGG
rnacentral:misc_RNA from 1 species